rnacentral:rRNA from 1 species
UACGUAGGGGGCUAGCGUUGUCCGGAAUCAUUGGGCGUAAAGCGCGUGUAGGCGGUCCGGUAAGUCCGCUGUGAAAGUCGGGGGCUCAACCCUCGGAUGCCGGUGGAUACUGUCGGGCUUGAGUACGGAAGAGGCGAGUGGAAUUCCUGGUGUAGCGGUGAAAUGCGCAGAUAUCAGGAGGAACACCAAUUGCGAAGGCAGCUCGCUGGGACGUUACUGACGCUGAGACGCGAAAGCGUGGGUAGCGAACAGG